rnacentral:rRNA from 1 species
UACAGAGGUCUCAAGCGUUGUUCGGAUUCAUUGGGCGUAAAGGGUGCGUAGGCGGCGCGGUAAGUCGGGUGUGAAAUCUCGGAGCUUAACUCCGAAACUGCAUUCGAUACUGCCGUGCUUGAGGACUGGAGAGGAGACUGGAAUUUCGACGGUAGCGGUGAAAUGCGUAGAUAUCAGGAGGAACACCAUAGUGCAAGGCAGCU